CACAUUCGCCCUGAUAAAAAUUUCCCUAAAUCAUACACCAACUAUUGUAAUUAAGACACUCAAAGCCUCUAAAUGGCAAAUGCAUCUCAUUCACAAUUGUAAGCCUGUGGCAUUGUGGGUAGAGUUAGCGAACGUGUAUAACAGCACAUGUUAAUUAGUUUAGUGAUCAAUAUUGUUUAAAUGAAGACUUUGACAGUCAGAGGAAUGAAUUUCAUGUUUCACUUCACCCAGAAAUCUCAGAGGAAGGUUCCCAACAUCUUGUUGAAUCUGUGCCAUGAAGAAUGAAGGCAGUUCUGAAAGCAAUCAGUAGGUGGCCUCAUCUAAGUCAACAUCUGCCUACUUGAUAGAUUAAGAAGGGUGGCAGUAGCAAAAUCCACUCGAUUCUCCAAUGUGACACGGUCGAGAACUGUAUCUAAUCAGAGUUUACUAGCUGUCUUUGAGACUUUCAUUACAUCACAUCACGAUUAUUUCUUUAAUUGUUUUCAAGCUAUUGUUCAGGUUUAGAUGGCUAGUAAAAAUGGUUUGGACUAAAAUGUACCUGCUUACAAUGCAUAGCACAGGGUACAUUUGCUAUCUUACAACAGCAUUUAACUGUAGUUGAUGUCUUCAUAGUCCUUGCUCUUUAUGUCUAAUUAAACUGUAGGAUAAUGGCCUACUGCUUCUGCUGCUAGGAGGUAGAGGAGAUGGAGUUAAGGGUGAUUAUGACCAUUCAGUGAGCUGAUUCAGGAUUGAUGUGUACAAAAAGAAAUAAAGAAUUCAAGUUGCUGGUUAUUAAUUUCACGCAUUUCGGAGGUAAUUUCCUGAACUUGGGCUUAGCAAAGAUGCUUUCCUUGUGACCAUGCACACCUGUAAUUUAAUAGAAAUGAAAAAAAAAGUUUGGUGUUAGUUUAAAAAAAAAAACAAAGGUCAGAAAGAAAUAAAACCCUAGACAAAGUUUCCAACAAAGUUUUAACACAAGCCUUAAGAGCAGUGAACAAAUUAAUCAUGUAGGGUCACUUAGUUUGCAUAGCUGAAUUCCUCUCUGGGAAAUCUCUGAUGUCAGGUGCUGGUAGCGCUCCAGGGAACUGGACAGGAACUUGUAAUUGUGCCUAAUUAUGCACCUGACAGGACAGUUCAUUUGCAUACACAGACUAUAUUUAAAUCUGUCUUAUGAAAACGAAAUGGAUUUAGAGCAGAUAAGAAAAGUAUUCUUUCAGAAGGUGAGCUCAGGUUUCAAUGUUUUCUCUCAUCAGACUGCGAGUCAUGUUUGAUGAUACUUCAAACAAAUGCCAGUGGAAAAUAAAACACAGCUCAAGCCCAGAGACGAUGCCUGGAAAUAGUCCCUGUGAUCAUAGAAAUCAAGCAAAGGACAUGCUCAAGGCUCAAGAACAUAAAGCAAUCAUUCAGCAUUUUCAAAAGAAUUAUGACGUCCGCUGCGUUACCUUGGGUCCCGAUCAUAAGAUGUAUUCUUCCCUCCUGCUCAAACUUC
ensembl:lncRNA